GUUUCCUGCACGAAUUGUCGUCCAAGGGUAAGUCGGGACUAAAUUCGAGGCGGAGACGGGUAGGAGAUGACAAACAGGUGAAAAUUCCUGUACUGCUGAAGGCGUUUGAGCGAAGGAGUGACACAGGAAGGAAGGCGCGCGUGCGAUUGGAAGAGCACGUCCAAGCAGGUAGGUGGGAGACAGGCAAAUCCGUUUCCCGAGAGGCCGAGAUGCGAUGGGGAGCUUCUGGAGACAGAAGCGAAGGGGCUGGCACUAAACUGUCGAGAAAAGCUUCUAGUGAGGACUCAGGCACCCGUACCGAAACCGACACAGGUAGGCAGGAUGAGAAUUCUAAGGUGCGCGGGAAAACCCUCGUUAAGGAACUCGGCAAAAUAUAUCCGUAACUUCGGGAAAAGGAUAACCCAGCGUACGUGAAGUGCAGAAACGCACGGAGCGGAGAUGGGUGGCAGAAGAGAGGCCCAAGCGACUGUUUACCACAAACACAGGCGUCUGCUAAAGCGAAAGCUGAUGUAUAGAUGCUGACACCUGCCCGGUGCUGGAAGGUUAAGAGGAAGUGUUAGCGCAAGCGAAGCAGUGAAUUGAAGCCCCAGUAAACGGCGGCCGUAACUAUAACGGUCCUAAGGUAGCGAAAUUCCUUGUCGGGUAAGUUCCGACCCGCACGAAAGGUGUAACGAUUUGGGCACUGUCUCAACGAGGGACCCGGUGAAAUUGAAGUACCUGUGAAGAUGCAGGUUACCCGCGACUGGACAGAAAGACCCCAUGGAGCUUUACUGUAACCUGAGAUUGGAUUCCGGUAAGAGAUGUACAGGAUAGUUGGGAGGCUGAGAAGUGAGUACGCCAGUAUUCACGGAGCCAUUGGUGGGAUACCAACCUUGUUUUAUUGGAAUUCUAACGAGAAGCGUAACGAGCUUGCGGACAGUCUCAGGCGGGCAGUUUGACUGGGGCGGUCGCCUCCGAAAGAGUAACGGAGGCGCCCAAAGGUUCCCUCAGCGCGGACGGAAACCGCGCGAAGAGUGCAAAGGCAGAAGGGAGCUUGACUGCGAGACGGACAGGUCGAGCAGGGACGAAAGUCGGGCUUAGUGAUCCGGUGGUAGAGAGUGGAAUUGCCAUCGCUCAACGGAUAAAAGCUACCCUGGGGAUAACAGGCUUAUCUCUCCCAAGAGUCCAUAUCGACGGGGAGGUUUGGCACCUCGAUGUCGGCUCAUCACAUCCUGGGGCUGAAGUAGGUCCCAAGGGUUGGGCUGUUCGCCCAUUAAAGUGGUACGCGAGCUGGGUUCAGAACGUCGUGAGACAGUUCGGUCCCUAUCCAUCGCGGGCGUAAGAAACUUGAAAGGGGCUGCUCCUAGUACGAGAGGACCGGAGUGGACCGACCAAUGGUGUACCAGUCAUGGCGCCAGCCGUGCAGCUGGGUAGCUACGUCGGGGACGGAUAAACGCUGAAAGCAUCUAAGCGUGAAACCAGCCUAGAGAUGAGGUUUCUCAUUACGAAAGUAAGUAAGGUCCCACAAAGACGAUGUGGUUGAUAGGCCGGGAGUGGAAGUACAGCGAUGUACGGAGCGGACCGGUACUAAUAGACCGAGGACUUGACUUA
rnacentral:rRNA from 1 species